rnacentral:rRNA from 1 species
UACGGGGGGGGCAAGCGUUGUUCGGAAUUACUGGGCGUAAAGGGCGCGUAGGCGGUCAGACCAAGUCGAGUGUGAAAUUCCAGGGCUUAACUCUGGCACGCUCGCUCGAUACUGGUCGGCUAGAGUGUGGAAGAGGAUGCUGGAAUUCCCGGUGUAGCGGUGAAAUGCGUAGAUAUCGGAGGAACGACCAGUCGGCGAAGGCGGGAGCAU